GCUGGAGUGUAAAGAACAGGCUAGUUUGGAGACUUGGGGGGCAGCUUUUGAAGCAUGGGAAGUGAUGUUUUGCUGUAUUUCUUCAACCCUAACUCAGUAGGAACUGAGUUGGAGCUGUACAAGCUGAUUUGGGGAGGCUUGAAGCAGCUGUAGAGGUGGGGGAGGAAGUGUUUUGGCUGUGGUUCUUCAAUCCUAGCUCAGUAAAAACUGAGUUCGAGCUUUGGAAGGUUAUUGGACCCCUUUGGCUGAGAUUGGUGAUCUUUGGAAGGUUGGUUGUGGUGUGUUCCAACCUGAAUUGAAGAGAAGAUUAAGGGGGUG